AUACAUGCAAGUCGAACGAGUUCUCGUUGAUGAUCGGUGCUUGCACCGAGAUUCAACAUGGAACGAGUGGCGGACGGGUGAGUAACACGUGGGUAACCUGCCCUUAAGUGGGGGAUAACAUUUGGAAACAGAUGCUAAUACCGCAUAGAUCCAAGAACCGCAUGGUUCUUGGCUGAAAGAUGGCGUAAGCUAUCGCUUUUGGAUGGACCCGCGGCGUAUUAGCUAGUUGGUGAGGUAAUGGCUCACCAAGGCGAUGAUACGUAGCCGAACUGAGAGGUUGAUCGGCCACAUUGGGACUGAGACACGGCCCAAACUCCUACGGGAGGCAGCAGUAGGGAAUCUUCCACAAUGGACGCAAGUCUGAUGGAGCAACGCCGCGUGAGUGAAGAAGGCUUUCGGGUCGUAAAACUCUGUUGUUGGAGAAGAAUGGUCGGCAGAGUAACUGUUGUCGGCGUGACGGUAUCCAACCAGAAAGCCACGGCUAACUACGUGCCAGCAGCCGCGGUAAUACGUAGGUGGCAAGCGUUAUCCGGAUUUAUUGGGCGUAAAGCGAGCGCAGGCGGUUUUUUAAGUCUGAUGUGAAAGCCCUCGGCUUAACCGAGGAAGCGCAUCGGAAACUGGGAAACUUGAGUGCAGAAGAGGACAGUGGAACUCCAUGUGUAGCGGUGAAAUGCGUAGAUAUAUGGAAGAACACCAGUGGCGAAGGCGGCUGUCUGGUCUGUAACUGAC
rnacentral:rRNA from 1 species